GAUGAACGCUGGCGGCGUGCCUAAUACAUGCAAGUCGAGCGAACAGACGAGGAGCUUGCUCCUCUGACGUUAGCGGCGGACGGGUGAGUAACACGUGGAUAACCUACCUAUAAGACUGGGAUAACUUCGGGAAACCGGAGCUAAUACCGGAUAAUAUAUUGAACCGCAUGGUUCAAUAGUGAAAGACGGUUUUGCUGUCACUUAUAGAUGGAUCCGCGCCGCAUUAGCUAGUUGGUAAGGUAACGGCUUACCAAGGCAACGAUGGGCAUCCGACCUGAGCGGGUGGUCGGCCAGACGGGAAGUGAGGCACGGUCCAGAGUCCUACGGUGGGAAGCAGUAGGGAAUCCUCCGCGAUGGGGGAGAGCGUGACGGAGCAACGCGGCGUGAAUGAUGAUGGUGUUCGGAUGGGAGAACUCUGUUGUUAGGGAGGAAGAAAUGUGUAAUUAACAGUGCGGGUCAUGACGGUACCUAAUCAAAAAGGCACGGCUAACUACGUG
rnacentral:rRNA from 1 species